AAUUUUGGACAAUGGGGGAAACCCUGAUCCAGCCAUCCCGCGUGUAUGAUGAAGGCCUUCGGGUUGUAAAGUACUUUUGGCAGAGAAGAAAAGGUAUCUCCUAAUACGAGAUACUGCUGACGGUAUCUGCAGAAUAAGCACCGGCUAACUACGUGCCAGCAGCCGCGGUAAUACGUAGGGUGCAAGCGUUAAUCGGAAUUACUGGGCGUAAAGGGUGUGUAGGCGGUUCGGAAAGAAAGAUGGGAAAUCCCAGGGCUCAACCUUGGAACUGCAUGUUUAACUGCGGGGCUAGAGUAUGUCAGGGGGGGGGUAGAAUUCAACGUGUAGCAGUGAAAUGCGUAGAUAUGUGGAGGAAUACCGAUGGAGAGGGCAGCCCCCUGGGAUAAUACUGACGCUCAGACACGAAAGCGUGGGGAGCAAACA
rnacentral:rRNA from 1 species